rnacentral:lncRNA from 1 species
CCAUAUUUUAUCCCUGCCUGCCUAUCUCACUUAGCUUACAAAUCACCUCCAUAUCACAAAAACAAUAGCAUCAAGUUGUUGAAAGUUAGCAACCAAAACACUAAUUUCAAAACCUUUGACUCAUGCUACAUGCCAAUGAAGAAAAUUUGGAUAUUUCACCUUGUUAGCUAGUGGCAGUCACAAACCUCCUUUGAUGGAAAGUGGAUGUCCCUAACAACAGAAAUAUAUAUAUAGUCAUUUUCAUCUUUAGCUGUACAUUACUUUUUUUUCAUAACCACUGUAGCUCAAAUUAUUGGGGUUUAACAUUUUAGGGAUUACAUAAAAAUUAAAAUUUUUAAAAUGAUUAUAUAAAGGUUAAUUUUUUAGAAAAAUAUUUAAAUAAAAGAUUUUCAAGUACUCUAACUUAAUAAUUGUAAUAAAAAUUAAGUAAAUGUCAACUUGUUUAGAAUAAAAUAGGUGUCAGUUGAAUCAUAUAUUAAGUAAAAUUAUAAAUAUGCUACAUUUGAAAGGUUUUUAGUAGAGCACUUUAAACAAAGUUUGACCCUUAUUUGAUCAUUUUAAAAAGUUUGACAUUCAUUUAAAUAAUUUUGUAAAUGUUUAGUUUUUAUAUGAUCGAUUAAACUUUAUGAGCAACCUAUAUAAAAGAUUAUGCCUCAAUUAAUGUAUGACAAAGCAGAGGCGAUUCUAGGGGGGCUGGCAUGGGCUCGGCCCCCCUAAAAUGAAAAAUUGUCAUUUAAACCCUUUAAUUUUUUAAAAUUUUAAAUUAAUAAAGGUAAAAUUACGCUUUAAUCUUCUUAAAAUUAUAAAAAUUUGAUUUAAUCUUUUAAAAAUUAUAAAUAUAUAAACUAUAUAAAAAAUUUAAAAUUUCGUUCUGCCCCUAAAAAAUUAUUCUGCUUUGCCAUGUCACAAAGGAUGCUUUUCAAAAGCAAUAGAUUGCUGAAUAUGUUUGAUUGAUGACUGAAAUGUACAGAUUCCCAAGAGUGCUAAUCGAUGGGCCAUAUGGAGCACCAGCACAGGACUACAAGAAAUAUGAAGUGGUUUUGUUAGUGGGUUUGGGGAUUGGAGCAACCCCCAUGAUCAGCAUUGUCAAAGACAUUGUACACAACAUCAGAUCCAUGGCGGAGGAUGAAUAUGAAGAACUGAGCAGUGCCCUGGAAAAUGGGGCUACCAUAAAUAACAAAACGAGUUCUCCAUCUCCACCAAAUCCAAAAAGAAGAGAAAACUUCAAGACAAAGAGGGCUUACUUUUAUUGGGUAACAAGGGAACAAGGCUCUUUUGAUUGGUUCAAGGGCAUCAU